CACUGCACUCCAGCCUGGGCGACAGAGCAAGACUCUGUCUCAAAAAAUAAAUAAAUAAAAACAUACUCAUGCUUCCUAGCCUCCUAUGUGGGGAUGAAUGAGGUAGCUUCCUUUAAAAGACAAACCACUUAAAAGUUUUUCUUGUUCCAGUUGCAUUUGCUGGUCUGGCCUUUGCGUCCUUCUACCUGGCAGGGAAGUUACACUGCUUCACACCACAAGGCCGUGGGAAAUCUUGGAGGUUCUGUGCCUUUCUGUCACCUCUACUUUUUGCAGCUGUGAUUGCACUGUCCCGCACAUGUGACUACAAGCAUCACUGGCAAGAUGUACUAGUUGGAUCCAUGAUUGGAAUGACAUUUGCCUAUGUCUGCUAUCGGCAGUAUUAUCCUCCUCUGACUGAUGCAGAAUGCCAUAAACCAUUUCAAGACAAACUUGUACUUUCCACUGCACAGAAGCCUGGGGAUUCUUAUUGUUUUGAUAUUUAAAAAUUGAAUCUGGCUGGGCAUGGUGGCUCAUGCCUGUAAUCCCAACACUUUGGGAGGCCGAGGAGGGUGGAUCACCUGAGGUCAGGACCAGCCUGGCCAACAUGGUGAACCCUGUCUCUACUAAAAA
rnacentral:sRNA from 1 species